AAUAAUAGCCACCCUGAACAAGCCCGAUCCCGUCUGAUCUCGGAAGCUAAGCAGGGUCAGGCCUGGUUAGUACUUGGAUGGGAGACCACCUAGGAAGACCAGAUGCUAUAGGCG
rnacentral:rRNA from 1 species